UUGUUCCUACGGGGGGCAGCAGUAGGGAAUUUUCGUCAAUGGGCGCAAGCCUGAACGAGCAAUGCCGCGUGAACGAGGAAGGUCUUCGGAUCGUAAAGUUCUGUUGAAGGGGAAAAAGAGCGGAGAGAGGAAAUGGUCUCCGAUUGAUAUUACCCUUCGAGGAAGUCACGGCUAACUACGUGCCAGCAGCCGCGGUAAUACGUAGGGGGCAAGCGUUAUCCGGAAUCACUGGGUGUAAAGGGAGCGUAGACGGCUGAGCAAGCCUGAAGUGAAAGGCGGGGGCCCAACCCCCGGACUGCUUUGGG
rnacentral:rRNA from 1 species